rnacentral:SRP_RNA from 1 species
GCCGGGCAUGGUGGCUCAUGCCUGUAAUCCUGGCACUUUGGGAGGCCAAGGUAGGAGGAUCACCUGAGGUCAGGAGUUCGAGACCAGCCUGACCAACAUGGUGAAACCCUGCCUCUA